rnacentral:rRNA from 1 species
CGGAUAGAGCCAGCGAAGUCGCUCGUAUUCAGCCAAAGACCUUGGGCAUCGGUGUGUCGGGUUGCUAAUCCCGCCUGGCGCGCCUUUCGCCUCUGGUUGAGGUGCAUUUGCGGGUGUUUGCGCUGAGACUUGCGGGCCAGCUUCUGGACCCGGGCCUAGAGGCCGUCCUCUGGGCGGAACUUGGGCACGGCGACGGUUGUUUGACCUGCUCGUACCACGGCUUGGCCUACGGACCGGGGCGCUGUCGUUGCUUCCGAGCGUUGGCAUCGCAUGCGAUGACUCGUUCGGGGGUUGCGGCUGUGUUUCGCGUUCCCAAGUCGGCUCUCGGUGUAAAAGCUGGUCACCUAUCCGACCCGUCUUGAAACACGGACCAAGGAGUUUAGCGUAUACGCGAGCCAUUGGGUGUCAAAACUCACAGGCACAAUGAAAGUGAAGGCCCAGUCGCUGGGCUGACAUGCGAGUUGGUGGGCUCCGGCCUGCCGAUGCAGCAUGGUCCCGUUCCAGUCGCUUGCGACGGAGCGGAGACAGAGCGUAUGCGCUGAG